rnacentral:rRNA from 1 species
GACGAACGCUGGCGGCGUGCUUAACACAUGCAAGUCGAACGGAAAGGCCCUGCUUUUGUGGGGUGCUCGAGUGGCGAACGGGUGAGUAACACGUGAGUAACCUGCCCUUGACUUUGGGAUAACUUCAGGAAACUGGGGCUAAUACCGGAUAGGAGCUCCUGCUGCAUGGUGGGGGUUGGAAAGUUUCGGCGGUUGGGGAUGGACUCGCGGCUUAUCAGCUUGUUGGUGGGGUAGUGGCUUACCAAGGCUUUGACGGGUAGCCGGCCUGAGAGGGUGACCGGCGACAUUGGGACUGAGAUACGGACCAGACCCCUACGGGAGACAGCAGUGGGGAAUAUUGGACAAUGGGCGGAAGCCUGAUGCAGCAACGCCGCGUGCGGGAUGACGGCCUUCGGGUUGUAAACCGCUUUCGCCUGUGACGAAGCGUGAGUGACGGUAAUGGGUAAAGAAGCACCGGCUAACUACGUG